rnacentral:rRNA from 1 species
AGCGAACGCUGGCGGCAGGCCUAACACAUGCAAGUCGAACGAAGUCUUCGGACUUAGUGGCAGACGGGUGAGUAACACGUGGGAACGUGCCUUUAGGUUCGGAAUAACUCAGGGAAACUUGUGCUAAUACCGAAUGUGCCCUUCGGGGGAAAGAUUAUCGCCUUUAGAGCGGCCCGCGUCUGAUUAGCUAGUUGGUGAGGUAAAGGCUCACCAAGGCGACGAUCAGUAGCUGGUCUGAGAGGAUGAUCAGCCACAUUGGGACUGAGACACGGCCCAAACUCCUACGGGAGGCAGCAGUGGGGAAUCUUGCGCAAUGGGCGAAAGCCUGACGCAGCCAUGCCGCGUGAAUGAUGAAGGUCUUAGGAUUGUAAAAUUCUUUCACCGGGGACGAUAAUGACGGUACCCGGAGAAGAAGCCCCGGCUAACUUCGUGCCAGCCGCCGCAGUAACAC